rnacentral:rRNA from 1 species
GACGAACGCUGGCGGCGCGCCUAACACAUGCCAGUCGAACGAGCGAGAGAGAGCUUGCUUUCUCGAGCGAGUGGCGAACGGGUGAGUAACGCGUGAGGAACCUGCCUCAAAGAGGGGGACAACAGUUGGAAACGACUGCUAAUACCGCAUAAGCCCACGGUGCCGCAUGGCACAGAGGGAAAAGGAGCAAUCCGCUUUGAGAUGGCCUCGCGUCCGAUUAGCUAGUUGGUGAGGUAAUGGCCCACCAAGGCGACGAUCGGUAGCCGGACUGAGAGGUUGAACGGCCACAUUGGGACUGAGACACGGCCCAGACUCCUACGGGAGGCAGCAGUGGGAAAUAUUGCACAAUGGGGGAAACCCUGAUGCAGCGACGCCGCGUGGAGGAAGAAGGUCUUCGGAUUGUAAACUCCUGUUGUUGGGGAAGAUAAUGACGGUACCCAACAAGGAAGUGACGGCUAACUACGUG